UGGCGGACUGGUGAGUAACGCGUGAGGAACCUGCCUUUCAGAGGGGGACAACAGCUGGAAACGGCUGCUAAUACCGCAUGACGCAUUCGGAUGGCAUCAUCUGAAUGCCAAAGAUUUAUCGCUGAAAGAUGGCCUCGCGUCUGAUUAGAUAGUUGGCGGGGUAACGGCCCACCAAGUCGACGAUCAGUAGCCGGACUGAGAGGUUGACCGGCCACAUUGGGACUGAGAUACGGCCCAGACUCCUACGGGAGGCAGCAGUGGGGAAUAUUGGGCAAUGGGCGCAAGCCUGACCCAGCAACGCCGCGUGAAGGAAGAAGGCUUUCGGGUUGUAAACUUCUUUUAAGAGGGAAGAGCAGAAGACGGUACCUCUUGAAUAAGCCACGGCUAACUACGUGCCAGCAGCCGCGGUAAUACGUAGGUGGCAAGCGUUGUCCGGAUUUACUGGGUGUAAAGGGCGUGCAGCCGGGUGCGCAAGUCAGAUGUGAAAUCUCAGGGCUCAACCCUGAAACUGCAUUUGGAACUGUGCAUCUUGAGUGCCGGAGAGGUAAUCGGAAUUCCUUGUGUAGCGGUGAAAUGCGUAGAUAUAAGGAAGAACACCAGUGGCGAAGGCGGAUUACUGGACGGUAACUGACGGUGAGGCGCGAAAGCGUGGGGAGC
rnacentral:rRNA from 1 species